rnacentral:rRNA from 1 species
CCACAGAGGGUGAGAGCCCCGUCUGGUUGGAUACCAAACCUGUGUUAAACUCCUUCAACGAGUCGAGUAGUUUGGGAAUGCUGCUCUAAAUGGGAGGUAAAUCUCUUCUAAAGCUAAAUACCGGCCAGAGACCGAUAGCGCACAAGUAGAGUGAUCGAAAGAUGAAAAGCACCUUGAAAAGGGGGUUAAACAGUACGUGAAAUUGUUAAAAGGGAAGCGUUUAUGACCAGACUUGUGUCGUGUGGCUCAUCCGAGGUUCUCCCCGGUGCACUCCACACGGCUCAGGCCAACAUCGGUUCUCGUUGGGGGAUAAGAACAGCAGGAACGUGGCCCUCUUCGGAGGGUGUUAUAGCCUGCUGUACGAUACCCUGAA